AAGAUGAGAUUUCCCACAGAGUUAAUCUGGUAAGACCCCUGAAAGAUGAUCAGGUUGAUAGGCCGGAAGUGGAAGCGUGGUGACACGUGGAGCGGAUCGGUACUAAUAGGUCGAGGUCUUGACCUA
rnacentral:ncRNA from 1 species